rnacentral:rRNA from 1 species
AACUAACAAGGAUUCCCCUAGUAGCGGCGAGCGAAGCGGGAAGAGCUCAAAUUUAUAAUCUGGCACUUUCAGUGUCCGAGUUGUAAUCUCUAGAAGUGUUUUCCGCAUUGGACCGCACACAAGUCUGUUGGAAUACAGCGGCACAGUGGUGAGACCCCCGUAUACGGUGCGGAUGCCCAAUGCUUUGUGAUACACUUUCGAAGAGUCGAGUUGUUUGGGAAUGCAGCUCAAAUUGGGUGGUAAAUUCCAUCUAAAGCUAAAUAUUGGCGAGAGACCGAUAGCGAACAAGUACCGUGAGGGAAAGAUGAAAAGCACUUUGGAAAGAGAGUUAACAGUACGUGAAAUUGUUGGAAGGGAAACGCUUGAAGUCAGACUUGCUAUUCGGGGCUUGCUCCGAGUUGCAGGCCAGCAUCAGUUUUCUGGGGUGGAAAAUCACGGUUAGAAGGUAGCAACUCCGGUUGUGUUAUAGCUUUCCGUUGGAUACAUCCUGGGGGACUGAGGAACGCAGU